CAUGCAGUCGGACGGGAUUUGGGAGCUUGCUCCUGAUGAGAGUGGCGCACGGGUGCGUAACACGUAUGUAACCUACCUUAAUCUGGGGGAUAGCCUCUCGAAAGAGAGAUUAACACCGCAUAACAUCAUCGGACAGCAUUUUUUGAUGAUCAAAUAUUUAUAGGAUUAAGAUGGGCAUGCGGAACAUUAGCUAGUUGGUAAGGUAAUGGCUUACCAAGGCUACGAUGUUUAGGGGAUCUGAGAGGAUGACCCCCCACACUGGUACUGAGACACGGACCAGACUCCUACGGGAGGCAGCAGUAAGGAAUAUUGGUCAAUGGGCGGAAGCCUGAACCAGCCAUGCCGCGUGCAGGAAGACGGCCCUACGGGUUGUAAACUGCUUUUGUACCGGAAUAAACCUUGAUUCGUGAAUCAAGCUGAAUGUACGGUAAGAAUAAGGAUCGGCUAACUCCGUGCCAGCAGCCGCGGUAAUACGGAGGAUCCGAGCGUUAUCCGGAUUUAUUGGGUUUAAAGGGUGCGUAGGCGGCUUUUUAAGUCAGGGGUGAAAGACGGUAGCUCAACUAUCGCAGUGCCUUUGAUACUGAAGAGCUUGAAUACACUUGAGGUAGGCGGAAUGUGACAAGUAGCGGUGAAAUGCAUAGAUAUGUCACAGAACACCAAUUGCGAAGGCAGCUUACUAAAGUGUGAUUGACGCUGAGGCACGAAAGCGUGGGGAUCAAACAGGAUUAGAUACCCUGGUAGUCCACGCCCUAAACGAUGAAUACUCGAUGUUGGCGAUAUACGGUCAGCGUCUAAGCGAAAGCGUUAAGUAUUCCACCUGGGGAGUACGCCCGCAAGGUGAAACUCAAAGGAAUUGACGGGGGCCCGCACAAGCGGAGGAGCAUGUGGUUUAAUUCGAUGAUACGCGAGGAACCUUACCCGGGCUUGAAAGUUAGUGAAUGAUUCAGAGACGAAUCAGUCCUUCGGGACACGAAACUAGGUGCUGCAUGGCUGUCGUCAGCU
rnacentral:rRNA from 1 species